AUUGAACGCUGGCGGAAUGCUUUACACAUGCAAGUCGAACGGUAGAGGGGCAACCCUUGAGAGUGGCGAACGGGUGAGUAAUGUAUAGGAACAUGCCCGGUCGUGGGGGAUAACGUAGCGAAAGUUACGCUAAUACCGCAUACGAUCUAUGGAUGAAAGCGGGGGAGCGCAAGACCUCGCGCGAUUGGAGUGGCCGAUAUCAGAUUAGGUAGUUGGUGGGGUAAAGGCCUACCAAGCCGACGAUCUGUAGCUGGUCUGAGAGGACGACCAGCCACACUGGGACUGAGACACGGCCCAGACUCCUACGGGAGGCAGCAGUGGGGAAUUUUGGACAAUGGGCGCAAGCCUGAUCCAGCCAUUCCGCGUGCAGGAAGAAGGCCUUCGGGUUGUAAACUGCUUUUGUACGGAACGAAACGCGCUGAGCUAAUACCUCGGCGUAAUGACGGUACCGUAAGAAUAAGCACCGGCUAACUACGUGCCAGCAGCCGCGGUAACAC
rnacentral:rRNA from 1 species